AUAAUAUGAUGAGCAAUUUAAUCUAGAUAGGGACAACAGAAUUUCAUAAUGUGUUGAGAACAUCUAGGAAAUGCAGUUUUAGUAGAGCUUUUUUCGUUAUCUGACU
rnacentral:snoRNA from 1 species